CAGGUGUCCCCAAAGUAGUCACUGAGACAAGCAUUUGGGAACAAGUGGCUAACAAGGGCAGUGCCCAGGAAAUGCUUUGGCCUCCCUCUGCUCCCCACAGACCAACCGACAUCCUGCUUCUUGUAGCUGAACCCCGACAACUUGCAGUAGGCCCAGAGCAAAGGAGUCGAUGGACCACGGGCCAAGACCUCUGAAACCAUGAGCCAAAAUGAAUCUUUCCUCCUCUAAGUUGUGGCCAGGUGUUUCGGUGACAGUGGCAAAAACCUGACCAGCACAGGCUCCAAGUCUACUUUUACGUCCAGGUUUCUGUGACCUCGGCUAGCUCGCCCCAGUCCCUGAGCUUUCCCUUCUCACAUACUCGCCAUCCUUUAAAACCUUGGCCAUUCACCCAGAGGAAGAACAAUGUGUACCAAACCCGGCGAGUGAUCCGAGGGCCAACGAGGCCAUGUCCAGCACUCCCACGCAGCACUGAGACACGAGCCUGCCUUCCCCAGAUGGCACUUCCCCCCUCAAUCCUGCUCUUCUCCCCAAUGCAGAUGGCCAUGCUUGCUGAGCCUUGGGAACUGUCUCCCCAGUCGCAAACAGCCUUUGACACAGUUACGCUGUGUGCUGUCCUCCAACGUGAAGUGACAAGGCAGGGUGACACUUAAUAUGCCCAGCUUGGUGGAAGUCUGUCUGGACACUGUCUGGUGUGCCUCCCAGAAGAAGAGCACAGGGAGCUGGUGCUAUCACCUCCCCACUCUGCAAAUGAGGAGAGCACAGGUCUGGGAAGGAAUUGGAGGAACAAAGUGGAAAUGAGAUCCAAUCAUGGCUGAAUCCCGUCACAGGCUGAGCCCUUCGAGUCCUAGAAGGCCUUGUUUCUAGAAGUUCAGACUCUGCUACCCUCGUCCUGCCCAGGUGUGCUGUCUGGAGAGCCCAGACUCUUUCUUAGUACAGUCAUUAAAUAAUCAGGUCACUGGGUUCCUUUUCCAGGGUCUGAUCAUUUCCAUUUCACGUUUCCCAAGGAAUGUGGGGUCCCAUGAAGUAGCCAGCUCAGAUGUUAUGUAUUCAAUGAAGGACAGAGUGAUCUCGUGUUUGCAUUGAACCAAGGAUUUGAGGUGGACCCCCUGGGAAUUUAUGAGUGAAGGAUUUCCACCAUUUUUCUCAUCUCAUGCUGAGUGAGAGUGGCAGAAUCAACUCUGAGUGAAGGCAUCCAGUUUAAGCUGCUAAUUACUUCCUAAUCAUGCAGAAUAAAAUCUACAUCCCUUAAAACACACCAGACAGUGAAACAUGAUCUUUGCUUUUCCCUGAUACUCUGGAAGGAAUCCACACAUUACUGUCAUAACCACUCUGUAAAGGGAGUGCCCAGCUAUAGCAACUUGCUUCUUGGUUUGUCCCCACAGUUUGUCCUGGGCUGUGGUUCUGAUGGCCACUCCAUGUCACUGCAGCCCUUCUGGGCAGGCCAAGGGCAUGGUUCAACCACACACAGGAGGUGGGCCAGCACAGAACCUCCCGAGUGUGCUCACGAUCAAGCAUGGGUCUGCUGGGAUUUUUUAGCAGAUGAGGCACCUGGAGGAGCAAGGUAUGGAGACGAUGACCUAGACAGAGCGGAAUGCUGAAGUCCAAAGUAAUCAGGGGUUACAGCUAACUGUAGGUCCAUCUGUGUGCACCAAAAAGCAGCCAGGAUUUCCAGGGGGUCUAUUACCCCUUCUCACAGUACAGUCUGGUGAGUGUUUUAACAGACUGUGAUUCAAAGAAGGGAAAGAAUCCUCCAAACUCUCAAAAAGAAGACAGAGAAGGGGAAGGGAUGCAAGAGGUCAGGUUUUACCAUUUUACACAUUCAUAUUUGGUUCAAGCUGGUAUUUCUUCUUCUACAAUAGCUCAACUGAACUCAUGAUCUUGGGAAAAAACGUUGGUUUUGAGAUUCAGACAACAAGAGCAUUUUUAACGCUUAUUCUUUUACCUUGAAAAUGACCCUGCGUACGGCUCACUGUAAGCAUUUCAAAUGACAAACAGGUGGUGACACACUAGGGUUCUUCCACAUCUCUUCCCCAGGGGCACGUUCCUCUGGAUAUGGCUCUGUCCAUGCUCUACCCCAUGUGGUCCCAUGA